CCUACGGGUGGCAGCAGUGGGGGAUAUUGCACAAUGGGGGAAACCCUGAUGCAGCGACGCCGCGUGUGGGAAGACGGUCCUCUGGAUUGUAAACCACUGUCCCCAGGGACGAAGAUGACGGUACCUGGGGAGGAAGCUCCGGCUAACUACGUGCCAGCAGCCGCGGAAAUACGUAGGGAGCGAGCGUUGUCCGGAAUUACUGGGUGUAAGGGGAGCGUAGGCGGGACUGCAAGUUGGGGGUAAAAUCUACCGGCUCAACCGGUAGCCGCACUCAAAACUGCAGUUCUUGAGUGAAGGAUAGGCAGGCGGAAUUCCUAGUGUAGCGGUGAAAUGCGUAGAUAUUAGGAGGAACACCAGUGGCGAAGGCGGCCUGCUGGGCUUUUACUGACGCUGAGGCUCGAAAGUGUGGGGAGCAAACAGGAUUAGAUACCCGGGUAGUC
rnacentral:rRNA from 1 species